UAAGGGCGCACGGUGGAUGCCUUGGCACUAGAAGCCGAUGAAGGACGUUACUAACGACGAUAUGCUUUGGGGAGCUGUAAGUAAGCUUUGAUCCAGAGAUUUCCGAAUGGGGAAACCCAGCAUGAGUUAUGUCAUGUUAUCGAUAUGUGAAUACAUAGCAUAUCAGAAGGCACACCCGGAGAACUGAAACAUCUUAGUACCCGGAGGAAGAGAAAGAAAAUUCGAUUCCCUUAGUAGCGGCGAGCGAAACGGGAAGAGCCCAAACCAACAAGCUUGCUUGUUGGGGUUGUAGGACACUCUAUACGGAGUUACAAAGGACGACAUUAGACGAAUCAUCUGGAAAGAUGAAUCAAAGAAGGUAAUAAUCCUGUAGUCGAAAAUGUUGUCUCUCUUGAGUGGAUCCUGAGUACGACGGAGCACGUGAAAUUCCGUCGGAAUCUGGGAGGACCAUCUCCUAAGGCUAAAUACUCUCUAGUGACCGAUAGUGAACCAGUACCGUGAGGGAAAGGUGAAAAGCACCCCGGAAGGGGAGUGAAAUAGAACCUGAAACCGUGUGCUUACAAGUAGUCAGAGCCCGUUAAUGGGUGAUGGCGUGCCUUUUGUAGAAUGAACCGGCGAGUUACGAUUUGAUGCAAGGUUAAGCAGUAAAUGUGGAGCCGUAGCGAAAGCGAGUCUGAAUAGGGCGUUUAGUAUUUGGUCGUAGACCCGAAACCAGGUGAUCUACCCUUGGUCAGGUUGAAGUUCAGGUAACACUGAAUGGAGGACCGAACCGACUUACGUUGAAAAGUGAGCGGAUGAACUGAGGGUAGCGGAGAAAUUCCAAUCGAACCUGGAGAUAGCUGGUUCUCUCCGAAAUAGCUUUAGGGCUAGCCUCAAGUGAUGAUUAUUGGAGGUAGAGCACUGUUUGGACGAGGGGCCCCUCUCGGGUUACCGAAUUCAGACAAACUCCGAAUGCCAAUUAAUUUAACUUGGGAGUCAGAACAUGGGUGAUAAGGUCCGUGUUCGAAAGGGAAACAGCCCAGACCACCAGCUAAGGUCCCAAAAUAUAUGUUAAGUGGAAAAGGAUGUGGCGUUGCCCAGACAACUAGGAUGUUGGCUUAGAAGCAGCCAUCAUUUAAAGAGUGCGUAAUAGCUCACUAGUCGAGUGACACUGCGCCGAAAAUGUACCGGGGCUAAACAUAUUACCGAAGCUGUGGAUUGUCCUUUGGACAAUGGUAGGAGAGCGUUCUAAGGGCGUUGAAGCAUGAUCGUAAGGACAUGUGGAGCGCUUAGAAGUGAGAAUGCCGGUGUGAGUAGCGAAAGACGGGUGAGAAUCCCGUCCACCGAUUG
rnacentral:rRNA from 1 species